GGGUUGUGAGGUUAAGCGACUAAGCGUACACGGUGGAUGCCCUGGCAGUCAGAGGCGAUGAAGGACGUGCUAAUCUGCGAAAAGCGACGGUAAGGUGAUAUGAACCGCUACAGCCGUCGAUGUCCGAAUGGGGAAACCCGGUGCACUCUGUGCAUCAUCGUUUGAUGAAUACAUAGUCAAACGAGGCGAACCGGGGGAACUGAAACAUCUAAGUACCCCGAGGAAAAGAAAUCAACCGAGAUUCCCCCAGUAGCGGCGAGCGAACGGGGAGCAGCCCAGGACCUGAAUCAGCUUGUGCAUCAGUGGAAGCGUCUGGAAAGUCGCGCGAUACCGGGUGACAGCCCCGUACACGAAGAUGCAUGAGUUGUGAGUCCGACGAGUAGGGCGGGACACGUGGUAUCCUGUCUGAACAUGGGGGGACCAUCCUCCAAGGCUAAAUACUCCUGACUGACCGAUAGUGAACCAGUACCGUGAGGGAAAGGCGAAAAGAACCCCGGCGAGGGGAGUGAAACAGAACCUGAAACCGUGUACGUACAAGCAGUGGGAGCCUACCUGUUAGGUGACUGCGUACCUUUUGUAUAAUGGGUCAGCGACUUAUAUUCUGUAGCAAGGUUAACCGCAUAGGGGAGCCGAAGGGAAACCGAGUCUUAAUUGGGCGUUAAGUUGCAGGGUAUAGACCCGAAACCCGGUGAUCUAGCCAUGGGCAGGUUGAAGGUUGGGUAACACUAACUGGAGGACCGAACCGACUAAUGUUGAAAAAUUAGCGGAUGACUUGUGGCUGGGGGUGAAAGGCCAAUCAAACCGGGAGAUAGCUGGUUCUCCCCGAAAGCUAUUUAGGUAGCGCCUCGUGAACUCAUCUCCGGGGGUAGAGCACUGUUUCGGCUAGGGGGCCAUCCCGGCUUACCAACCCGAUGCAAACUGCGAAUACCGGAGAAUGUUAUCACGGGAGACACACGGCGGGUGCUAACGUCCGUCGUGAAGAGGGAAACAACCCAGACCGCCAGCUAAGGUCCCAAAGUCAUGGUUAAGUGGGAAACGAUGUGGGAAGGCACAGACAGCCAGGAUGUUGGCUUAGAAGCAGCCAUCAUUUAAAGAAAGCGUAAUAGCUCACUGGUCGAGUCGGCCUGCGCGGAAGAUGUAACGGGGCUAAACCAUGCACCGAAGCUGCGGCAGCGACAYGUAWRUGUUGUUGGGUAGGGGAGCGUUCUGUAAGCCGCUGAAGGUGUGCUGUGAGGCAYGCUGGAGGUAUCAGAAGUGCGAAUGCUGACAUAAGUAACGAUAAAGCGGGUGAAAAGCCCGCUCGCCGGAAGACCAAGGGUUCCUGUCCAACGUUAAUCGGGGCAGGGUGAGUCGACCCCUAAGGCGAGGCUGAAAAGCGUAGUCGAUGGGAAACAGGUUAAUAUUCCUGUACUUGGUGUUACUGCGAAGGGGGGACGGAGAAGGCUAGGUUAUCCGGGCGACGGUUGUCCCGGUUUAAGCGUGCAGGUGUGAAGACCAGGCAAAUCCGGUCUUCUUUAACACUGAGGCGUGAUGACGAGCCGCCACGGCGGUGAAGUAACUGAUGCCCUGCUUCCAGGAAAAGCCUCUAAGCUCCAGGUAACACGAAAUCGUACCCCAAACCGACACAGGUGGUCAGGUAGAGAAUACCAAGGCGCUUGAGAGAACUCGGGUGAAGGAACUAGGCAAAAUGGUGCCGUAACUUCGGGAGAAGGCACGCUGGCGCGUAGGUGAGGGGACUUGCUCCCGGAGCCGAGGCCAGUCGAAGAUACCAGCUGGCUGCAACUGUUUAUUAAAAACACAGCACUGUGCAAACACGAAAGUGGACGUAUACGGUGUGACGCCUGCCCGGUGCCGGAAGGUUAAUUGAUGGGGUUAUCCGCAAGGAGAAGCUCUUGAUCGAAGCCCCGGUAAACGGCGGCCGUAACUAUAACGGUCCUAAGGUAGCGAAAUUCCUUGUCGGGUAAGUUCCGACCUGCACGAAUGGCGUAAUGAUGGCCAGGCUGUCUCCACCCGAGACUCAGUGAAAUUGAAAUCGCUGUGAAGAUGCAGUGUACCCGCGGCAAGACGGAAAGACCCCGUGAACCUUUACUAUAGCUUGACACUGAACAUUGAGCCUUGAUGUGUAGGAUAGGUGGGAGGCUUUGAAGCGCGGACGCCAGUCUGCGUGGAGCCAACCUUGAAAUACCACCCUUUAAUGUUUGAUGUUCUAACGUAGGCCCGUAAUCCGGGCUGCGGACAGUGUCUGGUGGGUAGUUUGACUGGGGCGGUCUCCUCCCAAAGCGUAACGGAGGAGCACGAAGGUUGGCUAAUCCUGGUCGGACAUCAGGAGGUUAGUGCAAUGGCAUAAGCCAGCUUGACUGCGAGAGUGACGGCUCGAGCAGGUGCGAAAGCAGGUCAUAGUGAUCCGGUGGUUCUGAAUGGAAGGGCCAUCGCUCAACGGAUAAAAGGUACUCCGGGGAUAACAGGCUGAUACCGCCCAAGAGUUCAUAUCGACGGCGGUGUUUGGCACCUCGAUGUCGGCUCAUCACAUCCUGGGGCUGAAGUAGGUCCCAAGGGUACGGCUGUUCGCCGUUUAAAGUGGUACGCGAGCUGGGUUUAGAACGUCGUGAGACAGUUCGGUCCCUAUCUGCCGUGGGCGCUGGAGAAUUGAGGGGGGUUGCUCCUAGUACGAGAGGACCGGAGUGAACGCACCGCUGGUGUUCGGGUUGUCAUGCCAAUGGCACUGCCCGGUAGCUAAGUGCGGAAGAGAUAAGUGCUGAAAGCAUCUAAGCACGAAACUUGCCCCGAGAUGAGUUCUCCCUGACCCUUUAAGGGUCCUGAAGGGACGUUGAAGACGACGACGUUGAUAGGCCGGGUGUGUAAGCGCAGCGAUGCGUUGAGCUAACCGGUACUAAUGACCCGUGAGGCUUAACCUUACAACGCCAGAGGCGUUUUG
rnacentral:rRNA from 1 species